AAUCUUGCACAAUGGAGGGAACUCUGAUGCAGCGACGUCGCGUGAACGAUGAAGGCUUUCGAGUCGUAAAGUUCUGUCCUAUGGGACGAUAAUGACGGUACCAUAGGAGGAAGCCCCGGCUAACUACGUGCCAGCAGCCGCGGUAAUACGUAGGGGGCGAACGUUGUCCGGAAUUAUUGGGCGUAAAGGGUACGCAGGCGGCCAGAUAAGUCAGAUGUGAAAUCCUAGGGCUUAAACCUAGUUAGCAUUUGAAACUGUAUGGCUUGAGUUAAGGAGAGGAAAGUGGAAUUCCUGGUGUAGCGGUGAAAUGCGUAGAUAUCAGGAGGAAUACCAGUGGCGAAGGCGGCUUGCUGGGCUUUUACUGACGCUGAGGCUCGAAAGUGUGGGGAGCAAACA
rnacentral:rRNA from 1 species